UACAGAGGGUGCGAGCGUUAAUCGGAAUUACUGGGCGUAAAGCGUGCGUAGACGGCUAUCUAAGUCGGGUGUGAAAGCCCCGGGCUCAACCUGGGAAUUGCAUUCGAGACUGAAUAGCUAGGGUGCGGUAGAGGGAAGCGGAAUUUCCGGUGUAGCGGUGAAAUGCGUAGAUAUCGGAAGGAACAUCAGUGGCGAAAGCGGCUUCCUGGACCAGCACCGACGUUCAGGCACGAAAGCGUGGGGAGCAAACAGGAUUAGAUACCCCCGUAGUCC
rnacentral:rRNA from 1 species